GUGGGGAAUUUUGCGCAAUGGGGGAAACCCUGACGCAGCAACGCCGCGUGAGUGAUGAAGGCCUUCGGGUCGUAAAGCUCUGUCAGAGGGGAAGAAGUGUGGGGUGGCUAAUAUCCAUUUCACUUGACGGUACCUUCAAAGGAAGCACCGGCUAACUCCGUGCCAGCAGCCGCGGUAAUACGGAGGGUGCGAGCGUUGUUCGGAAUUAUUGGGCGUAAAGCGCGUGUAGGCGGUUUUUUAAGUCUGAUGUGAAAGCCCUGGGCUCAACCCGGGAAGUGCAAUGGAAACUGGGAGACUUGAAUACGGGAGAGGGCAGUGGAAUUCCUGGUGUAGGAGUGAAAUCCGUAGAUAUCAGGAGGAACACCGGUGGCGAAGGCGGCUGCCUGGACCGAUAUUGACGCUGAGACGCGAAAGCGUGGGGAGCAAACAGGAUUAGAUACCCGAGUAGUCC
rnacentral:rRNA from 1 species